GAUGAACGCUGGCGGCGUGCCUAAUACAUGCAAGUCGAGCGAACAGAUGAGGAGCUUGCUCCUCUGACGUUAGCGGCGGACGGGUGAGUAACACGUGGAUAACAUACCUAUAAGACUGGGAUAAAUUCGGGAAACCGGAGCUAAUACCGGAUAAUAUAUUGAACCGCAUGGUUCAAUAGUGAAAGACGGCUUUGCUGUCACUUAUAGAUGGAUCCGCGCCGCAUUAGCUAGUUGGUAAGGUAACGGCUUACCAAGGCAACGAUGCGUAGCCGACCUGAGAGGAUGACCGGCCACACUGGAACUGAGACACGGUCCAGACUCCUACGGGAGGCAGCAGUAGGGAAUCUUGCGCAAUGGGCGAAAGCCUGACGGAGCAACGCCGCGUGUGUGAUGAAGGUCUUCGGAUCGUAAAACUCUGUUAUUAGGGAAGAACAAAUGUGUAAGUAACUAUGCACGUCUUGACGGUACCUAAUCAGAAAGCCACGGCUAACUACGUG
rnacentral:rRNA from 1 species